rnacentral:rRNA from 1 species
GUAGUCAUAUGCUUGUCUCAAAGAUUAAGCCAUGCAUGUCUAAGUAUAAGCAACUAUACGGUGAAACUGCGAAUGGCUCAUUAAAUCAGUUAUCGUUUAUUUGAUAGUACCUUACUACAUGGAUAACCGUGGUAAUUCUAGAGCUAAUACAUGCUAAAAACCUCGACUUCGGAAGGGGUGUAUUUAUUAGAUAAAAAACCAAUGCCCUUCGGGGCUCCUUGGUGAAUCAUAAUAACUUAACGAAUCGCAUGGCCUUGCGCCGGCGAUGGUUCAUUCAAAUUUCUGCCCUAUCAACUUUCGAUGGUAGGAUAGUGGCCUACCAUGGUUUCAACGGGUAACGGGGAAUA